AGCCCACCCUAGACGCCACUUUUAGCCAGAGGGUUGGGGCCUUGACCCCACACUGCCUCGUCCCCUCUGUCCUCGCCCCGACCCUGACGCAUCAGAGCCGGGACACUGGUGACUUUCCUGGGGAAAUCUCUAGACGUGACCUCUAUGGCCGGGGACAGGGGACUGGGUUUGAGUCUUGAGUCCUUUCCAGCAAGCGCCUUCCCGCUUGGAGCCUUGUUUCCUUCCUGGAUAAAUGGGCGGGGAAGCAUCGUGGAGGUGUGCGGGUUUAAUCGGCACAUGCGCUGCUGCCUGCAGACCAAGCUCAGGAUAAGUUCUUGCAGUAAAUAGCAACGUUUAUGUCCCUCGACUCCUGGCUCAGAGACGCGACCCAGGUGGGAACUUGAUUCGUGAAACCCAUCAGGGAGGAAGAGUCCCGACCUAUGCAUUGAAGGAUGGGGUGGACAGAAAGAAGGAACAGCAGUUAGAAGAGCAUUGGCGGGUCCUGUAGCAUCUGAGUCCCUGCUUGGACCAGCUUUCUGGGACCGCCCCUUAGCUGGCCCCCCUCCACUGAUGACUAAUGGCCAGGUGUAAGACAGUCUUCCGAAGGGGCCGUAAGACCACCAUGGGCUCAAGAUAAACAUUGAGUCCUGCCCUUGCCCACCUCCUCCUCUCUCCACCUCCACAUCUUGGUUUCUUGUCCUCCAUGUGCAAAAUGUGCUUUCCUGCCCCACCUACAUCUCCACAUAUGAAGAAUCAAUAACAAUUUUAGAGAGAAAAUACAGUUGUCAUGG
rnacentral:lncRNA from 1 species